AAAAUUUUAGUUUAAAUUAAAAUAAUUCAUUUACAAUGAAAAGAUUUUACAGUAAAGUAAAAAAAUUUA
rnacentral:tRNA from 1 species